rnacentral:tRNA from 1 species
CGCGGGCGUGCGCCCGGCGCUCUCCUAUUUCAAGCAGGCUCAUAACCUGAAGGUCGCAAGUUCAAAUCUUGCCCCCGCAACCA